AUGCUGUUGAAGGAGAAGUUAUUCGCUCUCGCUCUCUCGCUCGCACACACCUCCAAAUCUCAUCGUCUUCCUUCUCCUCCCGUCAUCCACCAAAAACCCUUACAUCACACAAUUCUCGAACCUUCUCGAUCGUUUCCGUCUCCGCCAAUCCCUCCAUUCAUAUCGAAUUUCGCACACUCCGUUACAAUUGAUAUGAACGGUGUAAUUAUCGCUUAA